rnacentral:rRNA from 1 species
UGGGGAAUUUUGGACAAUGGGCGCAAGCCUGAUCCAGCCAUGCCGCGUGCGGGAAGAAGGCCUUCGGGUUGUAAACCGCUUUUGUCAGGGAAGAAAUCUUCUGAGUUAAUACCUCGGGAGGAUGACGGUACCUGAAGAAUAAGCACCGGCUAACUACGUGCCAGCAGCCGCGGUAAUACGUAGGGUGCAAGCGUUAAUCGGAAUUACUGGGCGUAAAGCGUGCGCAGGCGGUUUUGUAAGACAGAGGUGAAAUCCCCGGGCUCAACCUGGGAACUGCCUUUGUGACUGCAAGGCUUGAGUGCGGCAGAGGGGGGAUGGAAUUCCGCGUGUAGCAGUGAAAUGCGUAGAUAUGCGGAGGGGACACCGAUGGCGAAAGGCCAAAUCCCCCUGGGGCCUGCACUGACGCUCCAUGCACGAAAGCGU